UACGAGGGGGGCGAGCGUUGUUCGGAAUUAUUGGGCGUAAAGAGCUCGUAGGCGGUGUGUCACGUCGGCCGUGAAAACCUGCAGCUUAACUGUGGGCGUGCGGUCGAUACGGGCAUCACUGGAGUUCGGCAGGGGAGACUGGAAUUCCUGGUGUAGCGGUGAAAUGCGCAGAUAUCAGGAGGAACACCGGUGGCGAAGGCGGGUCUCUGGGCCGGAACUGACGCUGAGGAGCGAAAGCGUGGGGAGCGAACAGG
rnacentral:rRNA from 1 species